ACGGAAGGCAGCAGUGAGGAAUAUUGGUCAAUGGAGGCAACUCUGAACCAGCCAUCUCGCGUGAAGGAAUACGGCCCUAUGGGUCUUAAACUUCUUUUGUAGGGGGAUAAAGUGAGGCGUGCAUGCCUUCUUGUAGGUACCCUAUGAAUAAGGAUCGGCUAACUCCGUGCCAGCAGCCGCGGUAAUACGGAGGAUCCGAGCGUUAUCCGGAUUUAUUGGGUUUAAAGGGUGCGCAGGCGGCCCGUUAAGUCAGCGGUGAAAUGUCGGGGCUCAACCCGGGCACUGCCGUUGAAACUGGGGGGCUUGAGUACGGAUGAGGUCGGCGGAAUGUGACGUGUAGCGGUGAAAUGCAUAGAUAUGUCACAGAACACCGAUUGCGAAGGCAGCCGGCCAAUCCGCAACUGACGCUCAUGCACGAAAGCGUGGGGAUCGAACAGGAUUAGAUACCCUGGUA
rnacentral:rRNA from 1 species